ACGAAAUAAAAAUGAAGGAAAGAAGAAGGAGGAGGACCAUUAUUAAUCUUAUUUUAUUCUUCGUCUGUAGUACGGCAUGAUGCUGUGUAUGUAGUAUGUAUGUUUUUUUUUUUUUUUUUUUUUUUCUUUGU
rnacentral:ribozyme from 1 species